rnacentral:rRNA from 1 species
UACCAGCACCCCGAGUGGUCGGGACGUUUUAUUGGGCCUAAAGCAUCCGUAGCCGGUUCUACAAGUCUUCCGUUAAAUCCAACUGCUUAACAGGUGGGCUGCGGAAGAUACUAUAGAGCUAGGAGGCGGGAGAGGCAAGCGGUACUCGAUGGGUAGGGGUAAAAUCCGUUGAUCCAUUGAAGAACACCAGUAGCGAAGGCGGCACUCUGGGCCGGUACUGACGCUGAGGAGCGAAAGCGUGGGGAGCGAACAGG